UCUUCUGUUCAUGCUAUCCAAAGCACCAGACAGUAAUAAAAAAGUUAUGAGGUGCAGUAUUCCUGCAAUCUACUCAAAUGGCUUCAGUGGGGGCAUUGAUAAACUCAAUAGCAUGGGAUGAAGCACUUGAAAAUUCCAUCAGUAACUGGAAGAGUGGGGGAAGUGCAGUUUGUAGCUGAUCAAGGGUCAUUGCCCUACUAUACCGAACAGCAUCCAGAUAAUUUGCUCUCUCAUUCUCCACUUGCUUCUUAAUUUCCUCUGUUUCAGUUUUCUUAACAUGUAUUGGAUGUCUGGGGCUUGUAUCAGCUAUAUCUCCAUCUAUUCUCUGCUGCAUCUCAGCCAAGCUGUUCAUACAUUUUUGGAAUUUCCUUUCAAGUUUAUCUAACUUUUUCAGAAUGUUGUGUUCCUCUGUCUGCUGAGAAGUUAUGGAACGGAUGCAUGACAAAAGGCCUUUUAUUGCAUCAGAUGUCGCCUGCAACCACCCAGAAUGUCAGCAAAUUUAACAGAGAGAGAGAGAAAGCUCGAAACCCGAGAGAGGGAGAACCAUCCAAAGAAAAGAAGAAAAACGGCACAAAGACCACAGCAGAGAGAGAGAGAACGAAGAAGAAGAAAAAUUGUAGGUACUACUACU
rnacentral:sRNA from 1 species